rnacentral:rRNA from 1 species
AGAGUUUGAUCCUGGCUCAGGAUGAACGCUGGCGGCGUGCCUAACACAUGCAAGUCGAGGGAGAAGGUUCACUUCGGUGGACUGGACACCGGCGAACGGGUGAGUAACGCGUAGCUAACCUGCCUUGAAGAGUGGGAUAACUACCGGAAACGGUAGCUAAUACCAUAUAAGCUCACGGAUUGUAGAAAUCAGUGAGAAAAGGCGAUUUAGCGCUUUAAGAUGGGGCUGCGUACCAUCAGCUGGCUGGUGAGGUAACGGCUCACCAGGGCGACGACGGUUAGGGGACCUGAGAGGGUGACCCCCCACACUGGGACUGAGACACGGCCCAGACUCCUACGGGAGGCAGCAGUGAGGGAUAUUGCACAAUGGACGCAAGUCUGAUGCAGCGACGCCGCGUGAGUGAAGACGGGCUUCGGCCUGUAAAGCUCUUUUCUGUGUGACGAGAACGGACGGUAGCACAGGAAUAAGUCUCGGCUAACUACGUGCCAGCAGCCGCGGUAAAACGUAGGAGGCGAGCGUUACCCGGAGUUACUGGGCGUAAAGCGCGUGCAGGCGGUAUGGUAAGUCUGUUAUGAAAGCUCCCGGCUAAACUGGGAGAGGUUGACGGAAACUGCGAUACUAGAGUG